AUUCAAAGCUCGCGUCCCUUCAAGUUGAAUCUUCCGGCUUUGUGCGAUUUACCCUCUCAAACUUUCUAGUUUGCAAGUCAGAAUUACUUUGAACGUCCCCUCUUCUGGACUCCCCUCCCCAAAGGGACUGGCGGCAAAGGAGAAUAGAAUGCAGAUGGUUAAUAGUUCAAAUGAAAUUUAAAAACCUAUAAACCAAUAUUUUUUUAGAGGAGAAAAGCGUUCACCAAACCGCCACCCGGCAAGCGAGCAUCCGAUUUCCAUCCGGAGGAAAAAAUAUUUUAAAAACCAGACAUAAAAUUCCCUUUGCAAGAAAAGUGGCCUCUAAACUCCCUUGCCAAGGACACUGGGAGGAAGCAGAAAAGCAAAGACCAAGCUCGUACUUUUCAGUCCGCGGCUUGUGUGCCGCGAGGAGAGGCGCAAAGGGUGACACACCAGGAAAGCAGGUAGCAGGCAAGAGUGUGGUUAUCGUUGGACCAGGAUUCAGGAUCUGACUGAGUAGCUGACUCUUAAUCCAGUUUGUGUUGAUCACCAGGAGGAUCUGGACCUCAGUAUUACCACAUCUAGAGCUAUAAUCACAUCCCUGUUAAGCCUUCCUGAGAUCACACCAAAUGUCCUUGAUGGGAAUUGUAAACAACCCUUACUUCUGGUUUCUAAUGAUAUUCCAGGAAAGGAGCCUAACUAGAGUCAGUGAUAUGCCAACUCCACCUUUGCCUUCCACCAUGUUUGGAAGCUCCCUGAGGCCUCACCAGGAGCAGAUGCUCGUCCCAUGCUUCCUAUAAGCCUGCAGAACUGUGAGCCAUAAUAAACUGUGAAUUAUAAAUUGCCUUUAUAGCAAUGCAAAUGGACCAGUACAGAUGGGAUGCUGGGAAGACAGUUGUUUCCACCUUCAGUAAAGUCCGUGGAACACAGUUGUGACUAUAUUCUAGGCCAGCCAAGAUGCUUGUACUCAGAAAGGAGUGGUCUCAGGACCAUAAGAAAGUGAAAAAAUAAAAAUAAGAAAAUAAAGAAGGGAUUGUCAAUGAAUCAGAAUUCAUCAAGGUCAAAGUCUUAGGAAAUUCCUUCAUGAGGAAGUCUAGGGGGGCUAUGGAAAUGAAAUUUUUAAACAAAUAGGUAUGUGGUGCUGGCAGGAAUAAAUUAUGGACUUAUGAAUAUAACAUAAGAUUCUUUAUUACCUGGUCUCACCCGUCUUUCCACCUCUGCCCCCCUUCUUGCCCGACUCUGUGUAUCACCCAUAAUAAACUACUUACAGCUUCCUAGUGUUAAAUUUACCCU
ensembl:lncRNA RASSF8-AS1 RASSF8 antisense RNA 1